rnacentral:misc_RNA from 1 species
AAUUUAAUUUAAAUAAUCUUUUAACUUUUAAGUUGAAAUUUCAAAAUUUAAGAUCAAAAUCAAAUUAGUAUCUGUUGUCAAAAGUGAUGACGAACUAACGUUUCUAAUAAACAAUGAGUGCUUAAACAAGAUGACAUGAUUCAAUAUUUAUUUUUAUACAUUAUGACAUGUCCUUUUUAUUCUUUGCAAUGGAAUUGCAAUCGCAUAAUAAUGACAAAUGAAACUGGGGUAAUCACAACAGUUGAAAAGAAACAUGAAAAGUCAAACCCUGGUGUACAAUGUGAAGAAUGGAUGAUUCAGGGUAAAGUAGGGACAACAAUUACUAUUAAAUUUUUAUUCUUUGAUACUGAAUUUGGUUAUGAGUCUUUUUUUGUUUUUGACGGAAACUCUUCAACAUCAAAACUUGUUUUAUCAAUGAGUGGGCGUCAUCGUGAUGUAUCUAUUACCAGCUCAAAAAAUCAGAUUUAUUUAUACUUCUAUACUGAAAGUUCCAAGUCCAGUUUUUUACUUGUUUAUUCAAUUAAUUCAUGUCCAAAUAACUGCUCUGAUAGUGGUAUUUGCUCUAACGGAAAAUGCAAUUGUAAAGAAAACCAAAUAGGAACUAGUUGUGAAUUUAAUUAUUGUCCAAACAAUUGUAGUAUUCUUGGUGGUAAUAAAUGUGAUCAGGAUUUAAAAAGUUGCGUAUGUGGAAAUGAUUUUUUUGGUGAAUCUUGUUCAAUACCAUAUAAGUUUAACAAUGGUUUAAAUUCAUGGUAUACAGUAUCUUCUAAAUUAACAGUUUUUACAGCAAGAUCAAGUCAUGUUGCUGUUUUCAUAAGUAACUGCUUGAUUAUUCAUGGAGGUUUUACAAAUGAUGGAUUGUCUGAUCAGCUUAUAUAUUUUAACAUAAGUACGAAUCAGUGGAAAGUUAUUAGCAUAAAUGAACCAAAGCCAGGUUCUCGAUAUGACCAUGCUGGUGAAAAAUAUGAAGAUGGAUUUUUAAUUUUUGGUGGUGAGUUAGCUGAUGGAAGUUUUUCAAAUGAACUUUGGUAUUUUAACAAUAAAUGGAUUCUGUUAAGUAAUGACAAAUCAAUACCUGGUCUCACAGGACACUCUGUGACUGUUGUUGGUUCAAAAGUGUUUAUCUUUGGAGGUCGAAUCUUUGGUGACAAAAUAUCUUCAACUAUGUAUAUUUACAACAUUAUUGACAAUGUAUGGAAAGUUAUUGAACCAAUGCCAGUAUUGCAAUCUAGAUUAAAAUUAGUUGGGCAUACUGCUAGUUAUUACAAAGAAAAAGAAAUUAUUUUGAUUUAUGGUGGUCUGCAUUUUACAUCAAAAAAUGCUAAAAGUGGCGUAUCUAAUGAUAUGUUUGCUUUCAGUAUUAAGUUAGAGAAAUGGAGUAUAUGGUUAUUACCAGAAAGUUCUUCACCUGCACUUGCUCUCCAUAGUGCAGUUAUUUCUGACAAUCAUCUUAUUUUACAUGGAGGAUGGAUUUUCAAUGCUGAUCGUAAUGAGCCCGAACCUUCAAAUGCAACAUACUUUUACAAUCUUAUGUGCUUAUUGUGGGUUUCUUACCCUUUAAAGUCUAAUGGAUAUUCACUUAAAAAGCGUUAUGGUCAUACUGCUUUAAUGAUGGACAUGCAAACGGUUAUUAUUGUUGGAGGUUUUAAUGGAGCUUUUUUGUUAAAUGAUGUCCUAGUUUUGAAGAUUCCAUUUCAAAUCACUGGUCUUCAGUGUUUUUCGUAUUUACAGAAUAAAGAUAAAUGUCUUUCAGAUCCUUCAUGUAUAUAUUGCUCUUCUUGUGUUCCUUAUUAUCAAAAAAACAUCUGCUCAGAUCCUAUACUGAAGCCAUAUUUAUGUCAGGAUCAAUGCUCCUUUUUAUCUACGUGUGAGGAAUGUACUGCAUAUACGCAAUGUAAUUGGUGCACACUAACAAGUUUUUGUCAGUCCAAAGAAAAUAAAAAUUGUUUUCAAGAACAGAAAUUAUGGUGGGGUUCAAACAAUGGAAUUUUAAUUAAUGCGACAGGUGAAUGCCAAUUAUUAGACGAGCCACCAGGAAUUACUUAUAUGUAUUAUUUGAAACCAGAAAAUUUUAACUAUCCUGAUUAUGUUAAAGUUUUACCACACGGGAAAUCUAUUAUUUAUAAUGUUACAUCAAAGGCAACUUUGAUUUUGAAAGGGGCAAUAUACCCUUUUUUUCGUUUUUUUAAUGCUGAUUUUACCAAUCAUAAAGUUCUACUGCGUGGAAGAAACCUUAAUGCAACAUUAAGUUUAUCAAGUAUCAAUGGUGUUUCCAACUUGGUUGAAGUGGUGUCUCUGCCGUUUGAUGAUCAGUACCAUGAGGUUGUAACUGUUAAGAACCCUAUAUUUCUCUACAAUAAAGUAGAUCGCUUUCAAACGCAAAAUUUAAAGUACACAAUUGAAUUAAAAGCAAAUUUGAUUAACCUUGGUUCAGACCAAUAUGCUGCUAUUGAAAUUCAAUGGAAUCAUACUGAUAAUGAAUUUUUUGCAUUAUAUCCCAUACCAGGAAGUUAUUUACAGCCAUUUAAAACAACUAAUUGCUCACAAUAUUUUUCUUGUUCUGGUUGUGUAUCAGAUAUGUUUUGUGGUUGGUGUGACACUGUUUUAUCUUGUAUGCCUCGCAGCAGCUGGUCUCUCUGUUUUAACAUAUCUGCUGGUUAUCUAGUUAGAAAUCAAAGUCAAUGUAUGAUGUGCAAACAUAAUUUUGAUUGUGAAAGUUGUAAGAAGGAUUUCUUUUGUGAUUGGGAUGAAGAUUUAUUAAAGUGCACAAGGAAGGAACUUGUCCAUGCUUCAUCAAACUGCAGUUCAUGCAACAAAAAAUCAACAAUAGAAGAAUGUUUAACUGUUAAACAUUGUAUUUGGUGCUCUGAAAAAAAGAAGUGUUUGUAUAACUUUCAAGUUGCUAUGCAAAAUAAAUAUGGAGAAUGCAGAACUGUGUAUGAUGGAUAUAUGCUGCAAAAUUGUUCAACAAUCACAAAUUGUUCUUCUUGCUUAAAUGCUUUUCAUUGUGGAUGGUGUUAUGAUUUUAUUGAUCCUAGAGUAGGCAGAUGUACAAUUGGGGAUUUUUCUGGGCCAAUUAAAAAAUGCCAAAUUGUUACAAUCAAAAGUGAGCCAGCAUGGAGCUAUGAAGUCUGUCCAGAUAUCAACGAGUGUGCUCUAAAUAUUUUUAGUUGUGAUAUCAACGCUUAUUGUGUUAAUACUAUGUAUUCUUAUGAAUGCAAAUGUAAACAAGGAUAUAUUGGUGAUGGAAAAUCCAAAUGUAUAAAAACAUGUUGGCCUGAGUGUUAUCAAGGAGUAUGUAAUGAAACCACAUAUAAAUGUGAAUGCAAUUUGGGUUGGACUGGACAAAAUUGUUCAGUUGAUUGCGGUUGCAAUGGUCAUAGUACCUGUUUAUAUGGAGUUGGUAUAUGUGAUCAAUGUCAAGAAAAUACUGUUGGAAAGUAUUGCGAAAAGUGCAUAAAUGGUUCGUAUGGAAAUGCUUUGACUUCAACUGGAUGUAAAAAAUGUGAAUGUAAUGGUCAUGGUAAUCCUUUACAAAACUAUUGUCAGUCUGCUAAUGGUGAAUGUUUUUGCUUGCAUAAUACCAUUGGUAGUUCAUGUGAGUUAUGUGAACCUGGUUUUGUUGGCAAUCCAAGAAAUAAUGGGAUUUGUUACAUACCAUGUAAGCGAUCAAGUAUUAUUUCUAAUUUAUACUCUGGUUACUUAAGUCCUACAAAUGAGGCUAAUAAUUUAAAAUAUACAACAUGUGUUUGGUUAAUUUCACCACGUAAUCUUACACUUAAUGAAUAUAUUUAUUCGGAUCCAUUGCAAUUUAGUGAAAGAAUAUUAAUUAGCAUAACGAAAAUCAACUUAACUUCGUGUUUUGAUUCUCAACUUUUUGUUUAUGAUGGGAUACCUCCAAAUCCAAGAAGUAAAAAAGUGUUUAUAAAGACUUCUUUUAAAAAACUUGGCAGACUGUGUGGUGUGAAUAGCAAAAAAGUUUUUCGCUCAUCUUCUGGAAUGUUAUCAUUGGUUUAUGAAGGGCAAACUUCUAAAUUACUUUUAAAGCAAGACAAUUCAAACUUUUUAAUAAUGUUUCAAAUUCUUCAGUGUCCUGAUCAUUGCCCUCCACCAUAUAUUUGCAGUGUAUUGGGUAUUUGUUCAUGUAAAGAUGGUUUUUAUGGCAAUAAGUGUGAAUAUUCAAAAUGUAUAAAUAAUUGUAAUGCAAAGAAAAACCAAGGAACUUGUAUAAUGGAUACUUAUUGUUUAUGUAAAGUAGGAUUUGCUGGGGAGGAUUGCAGUCAAUUAGUUUCCAAUUUGUUUUGGCAGAUAUCGACAAUGCCGAUCCAUUCAUCUGCUAUAGAAAAUGUAGAAGAUAAAAGGUUUGCUGGGACAAUGGUCAUUGAUGAUUCGUUUUUGUACAUUUUUGGUGGGAGAAACUUUAGUGAUCUGAAAAGUCCAGAUGUUUUUCGUGUUAAUUUGUUGACAGGUUACAAGGAAAUGCUUAAUUUGUCUAGUGAAGUUUGUCCUUCAAGUCGAUAUUUUCAUUGUUCUUUUUUUUAUAAGAAAGAAAUUUAUAUAUAUGGUGGCAUAACAAGUAGUGGUUUUUCUAAUGAGAUUUGGAAGUUUAAUCCUUUAAAAAAAGUGUGGACUGAUUUAACUAGGAACUUUUCAGAAAAAAAAGUUGCAGGACAUACAUGUACAUUGUUUGGAGAUGUUGUAUAUAUAAUAGGUGGUUAUUAUUGGAUAGAUGGUUAUAGUAUAGGUGUACGGUUAAUUGAACUUAACACUCUUAAAGAACAGUACCAGAAAUUUACAGGGCCUACUCCAUCAGCUCUAUAUGGUCAUGUAUCAGUUUAUUAUCCUGAAGAGAAAAAGAUAGUUGUCCAUGGGGGAAUAGAAUUUUAUAAAAACAAAACUAAAAUAUCUAAUCAAGUAUAUAUUUUUGACCCUGAAAAUGGAUAUUGGAACCUUGUGGAAUCAAAACCAGCAAACUCGUCGCCUUUUAUUUUUGGACAUAGUGGACAUAUGAUUAAUGGCACUUUAUUUAUUAUAUCUGGCUAUGAUGACUCCGUUGGUUUUAAUAACGAUAUCUAUAUAUGGAGGCCAGUGUGUAACUUGUGGUCUUUCCUUCAGAGAAAUGACAACUUCGUUCGUGAUACUGGAAAUACAAAUAUGUUGUUUGCUUUAUCAGCAAUUUUCAAUAAUACUAUUCUUUUAUAUGGCGGGUUUAAUUAUAAUGUGAAUGGUAAGUUAAUUUUCUUUUCAGUGCCGAGAGACAUUUGUGCAUAUCAGGAAACAAAAUUAAAAUGCUUAUCUGAAAUCAGUUGUAGUUGGUGUAGUAAAAUUAAUGACUCGUUCUGCUUUGAUAAAAAUGUAAAAUCCUGUAGUGAAAAUAUCUCCAUGGUUACAAGCAGUAUGUCUUGUUCUGUGGAUUAUGAAAGAGAAUGCUCAUCAUACACCUCCUGUAGUUCCUGCCUAUCAAGUUACCCAAAAUAUAGUGGAUGCAAAUGGUGUCAAGAGAGCUACUGUGCUUCAAAUUCAUCAUCUUGUCUUACUACCUUCAAUGAAAUUAGUCAGUGUAUAACUAAAUCAAGACAGUUUCAAAAUUAUUGUGUUGAUCACACCACUUGUGAUAGCUGCUUAAAUGAACAAGUAUUUGAAGAUUUCAGUUCACCUGGUUGUUUAUGGAGUGAAAAGUUAAGUACUUGUGUUUCAUAUUCGCUACUCCCAUUAAAGUGUUCAUUUGGCUCUUGCGGUCAACUACACUCAAAGGAAAUGGGUGGUCAAUGUCCAAUUUUAUGUGAGUUACAAAAAGAUUGUAUAUCUUGUACUAAAUUAGCGCACUGUGGCUGGUGUGCAGAUAACCAUAAUGGUUCUGGAAAAUGUUUAAAAGGUGAUAUUGAAGGACCAACAAAUUCAAAAUGUGAACAAGCAGACUAUAAUACUUUUAUUGACAAUACAGAUAUGUAUGCAAAAAACAAAACUUGGGUAUUUAUAGUUUGUCCUUUAGAAAAUGAGUGUGAGUCCUUAGAUAAACCUUGCAACCUAUCUGAGUUAUGUAUAGACAAAGAUAUAGGAUUUGAAUGUCAUUGUCAACCAGGGUAUAGGAGAUUGAGCAGUAAUUUACAGGGUGAAAGUUGUGUUCCAGUAUGUGAGAGUUGCAUAAAUGGAAAGUGUAUUGAACCAAACAAAUGCAAUUGUAGCUUUGGAUGGACUGGAAUAGGUUGCAAUGUGCCAUGUCAGUGUAAUGGCCACAGUAAUUGUGCUAAUGAAACACACACAAGUAUAUGUUUGGACUGUAUGCAUAAUACAAUUGGAUCAACUUGUGAUAAGUGUAAACCAUUGUAUGUAGGAGACCCUACAUCUACGUCUGGACUUAACUGUCAAGAAUGUCGUUCUGUGUGUAAUAAUAAUACAGAUAUAUGUAUGACAAAAGAAGAUUUUGUUAAAUACAAACACAAUAUCAUGUCAUUUUCUCAUGGACCUAAAAGUGUGGAUGAUGUAAAAUGUUACGAUUGCCAAAAUAACAGCGAAGGAGACCUCUGUGACUCUUGCAUUGAUGGAUUUUUCAAGAUAUUAAAUGGACCAUGUCAACUCUGCCAAUGCAAUAAUCAUUCUAAUACAUGCAAUAAAAGUACUGGAGAAGAAUGUCAAUGCUAUCAUAACACUGAAACCAGUUUAAACUGCAAAAAAGAGUGUUAUAAAGAGCAGUGCACACGUUGUAUCUUUGGUUUUAGCGGAAAUCCAAUGAAUGGAAGGCAAUGCUAUGAAAAAAUUGUCUCUUUUAUUGUUCCAAAACAAAGGACUAUGCUAUCAGCGAGGUCGUCAUUUUUCAUGAUUUCUCCUUAUUAUAUGAAUGUUAAUAUGCGUAUAGUAAUUGACGUCAUAGAAGGAGAGUUAGACAUGUAUUUUGCUGAUUCUGAUGAAUACUUUAUCGUCUCUCAAAAUGCUACACAAAUUCAGAGUUUUUCCGUUAUUUUUGGACCUAGAAAUGAAAACAGCAAAGAUGACGAUUAUACACCAGAAUUAAGUUUAUCGUCAGAAAUGUAUUUUACGGUUACCGAAUAUUUCGGCAAUGUUUUAUCUGUUAAAAAUAUAAGAAAACGUAUACUAAUAACUGUAAAACACUCUGUCCACGAUUUAAGUAAAAAAAAUUUUUACAUAGCUGUAUCCACAAUUAACAAACCUGAUUCAGCAUUUUUUAUAUAUUAUAGCCAAGAUUUGGUGCGUUUAAACCUGACAUUAUUUGUUCUUAUUUUAAUUGUAUGUUUACUUAUUAUUAUGUGCUUCGCGUUGUUGUUUUGGAAAGCUAGUCAAUUAUAUAUGCAAGGAAUGAUAAUUGGAGAAGAAGAGUUAGCAUUAAAGACAAUGGGAACUAGACCAUUUGGGACUUAUAAAAUAUUUUGUCAAAAUUUAGAUGAAUUAGUGUAUAAAAGAAGAACGAAACAAAAUUUACAAGACAGUGUGACGCCAUUAGCUAUUCAAAAUACCAAAGACAAUUUAGCAUCGGUUAUAGUAGUUAUAGUACAGUUCCCAUCUAAUGAACUAACGGAAUGUUUUUGUUUAGGUAGUGGUCUAACCCUAGCACAUAAUCAAUACCUGUUAGAAACAGCGUCGAAUAUCGGAACACAUGGUCGUCUUGUGAACACUCGGAUAUUAUCCACAGUUGCCUAAUAUAGUUUUUAUACGUUUAAAAUAUUUUAUACCAAUUUUUUUUCCUGAUCAAAAAAGGUAAUGAUUUGUACAGUAUUAUAUUUAUUCAUGGCUGAUGGUAAUGUGCCGAAUAUUUGUCAACUAUUCCAUAUAUAUAUUUUUUUGUUUUGUUUUUCUGUCGAGUAUUCCGUUUGUUUAAUUAUCAGUACCUAAUAAUUUGAAAUUUUAAAAAUAAUUUCUUUUACAAUAUGAUUUCUUUAGAUAACAAAAACUGAGUAUUUAGUGUUUAAACCAAGAAUUAUGUGCUUGAACCAAGAAUUUGGUUUAAAUGCAGAAUUCACGGUUCAGAAAUUAUUUGAAACUAUUAUUCGGCACAUUUCUCGUAAUGAUAUAAUCAUAUUCAAAGUAUGAAUUAUGUUAUAUUUGUAAUAUGCAAAUAUAAACUUUCAUAUUAUGGUGGAUUGUUGUGUAUUUAUACAUUUUAUAUCAUUUAUUGUUGCAAAGAAAUUGCUUUAUUUUUGCGAAGAAAUUGUUUCUCAGCAUAACUUUAGCUUUAUAAAACUUUUUUUGCUUUAAAGCUAUCAAUUUGUUGUUAUUUUUAUGGUGCUUUUUUUAAAUAAAAAGUUGUGUGAUACAAUUUGUCUGUACAUUGGACCCAAAAAUGACUUCAUUACCAAAACUACAAAUUUAUUAAUAACCAACUUGUGAAUUAAAGUUUGAACUUUUACCCAUAACUAUACUAAUAUUAAAUCCUAAAAUUAACUAUACUAAAAUAUAGUUAUUUGUUGAAAAAAUGAAAAGACUAAACUAGUUCAAUCCACUACUUGGAAGUAUAUAUGUAUAAAAUAUACGCAUGCUUGGAAGUAUAAAUGUGUAAAAUAUACGCAUGCUUGAGAGUA